UUCCGGUUGAUCCCGCCGGACCUGACUGCUAUCGGAUUGAUACUAAGCCAUGCAAGUCUUUGUAGUAAUACAAGGCAUACGGCUCAGUAACGCGUAGUCAACCUACCCUAUGGAUGGGGAUAAUCUCGGGAAACUGAGCAUAAUACCCAACAGAUCAUCAAUUCUGGAAUGGUUGAUGAUUCAAAUGAUUUUUCGCCAUAGGAUGGGACUGCGACCUAUCAGCUUGUUGGUGAGGUAAUGGCCCACCAAGGCAAUUACAGGUACGGGCUCUGAGAGGAGAAGCCCGGAGAUGGGUACUGAGACAAGGACCCAGGCCCUAUGGGGCGCAGCAGGCGAGAAAACUUUGCAAUGUGCGAAAGCACGACAAGGUUAAUCCGAGUGAUUUCUGCUAAAGGAAUCUUUUACCAGUUCUAAAAAUACUGGCGAAUAAGGGGUGGGCAAGUUCUGGUGUCAGCCGCCGCGGUAAAACCAGCACCUCAAGUGGUCAGGAGGAUUAUUGGGCCUAAAGCAUCCGUAGCCGGCUCUGUAAGUUUUCGGUUAAAUCUAUAUGCUCAACAUAUAGGCUGCCGAAAAUACUGCAUAGCUAGGGAAUGGGAGAGGUAGACGGUACUCGGUAGGAAGGGGUAAAAUCCUUUGAUCUAUCGAUGACCACCUGUGGCGAAGGCGGUCUACCAGAACAUGUUCGACGGUGAGGGAUGAAAGCUGGGGGAGCAAACCGGAUUAGAUACCCGGGUAGUCCCAGCUGUAAACGAUGCAGACUCGAUAAUGCACUGGCACAUAGCCAGUGCAGUGUCGCAGGGAAGCCGUUAAGUCUGCCGCCUGGGAAGUACGUACGCAAGUAUGAAACUUAAAGGAAUUGGCGGGGGAGCACCACAAGGGGUGAAGCCUGCGGUUCAAUUGGAGUCAACGCCGG
rnacentral:rRNA from 1 species